rnacentral:rRNA from 1 species
UGGGGAUAUUGCACAAUGGGCGAAAGCCUGAUGCAGCGACGCCGCGUGGGGGAUGAAGGCCUUCGGGUUGUAAACUUCUUUUGCUCUGAACAAGGCAUGCUAAUGGGUGUGUUGAGUGUAGGGGUUGAUUAGCGCCGGCUAACUACGUGCCAGCAGCCGCGGUAAUACGUAGGGCGCGAGCGUUGUCCGGAAUUAUUGGGCGUAAAGGGCUUGUAGGUGGCUGGUUGCGUCUGUCGUGAAAGCUCAUGGCUUAACUGUGGGUUUGCGGUGGGUACGGGCUGGCUUGAGUGCAGUAGGGGAGGCUGGAAUUCCUGGUGUAGCGGUGGAAUGCGCAGAUAUCAGGAGGAAUACCGGUGGCGAAGGCGGGUCUCUGGGCUGUUACUGACACUGAGGAGCGAAAGCAUGGGGAGCGAACAGG